rnacentral:rRNA from 1 species
AUUGAACGCUGGCGGCCGGCCUACCACAUGCAAGUCUCACGAGUGGCGGACGGGUAAGUAAUGUCUGAGAAACUGCCUAAUGGAGGGAGAUCACUACUGGAAACUGUAGCUAAUACCGCAUACCAUCUGAUGUGCCCAGAUGGGCUUUGCUAUUAGGUGGGGUAAAGGCUCACCUAGGCGACGAUCCCUAGCUGGUCUGAGAGGAUGACCAGCCACACUGGAACGGAUACACGGUCCAGACUCCUACGGGAGGCAGCAGUGGGGAAUAUUGCACAAGGGGCGCAAGCCGGAUGCAGACAUGCCGCGUGUAUGAAGAAGGCCUUCGGGUGGUAAAGUACUUUCAGCGGGGAGGCGUUACCCGCAGAAGAAGCACCGGCUAACUCCGUGCCAGCAGCCGCGGUAAUAC